UACAGAGGUCUCAAGCGUUGUUCGGAUUCAUUGGGAGUAAAGGGUGUGUAGGUGGCGCCGUUAGUCGGGUGUGAAAUUUCGGAGCUUAACUCCGAAACUGCAUUCGAUACUGCGGUGCUUGAGGACUGGAGAGGAGACUGGAAUUCAUGGUGUAGCAGUGAAAUGCGUAGAGAUCAUGAGGAAGACCAGUGGCGAAGGCGGGUCUCUGGACAGUUCCUGACACUGAGACACGAAGGCCAGGGGAGCAAACGGG
rnacentral:rRNA from 1 species